GUCGUCGUAGGAACGGGCCGGAACCCUCAAGUUCCGGCCCGUUUUCGCGCCGCUGUCCGGUCUGCAAAACCUCCAUCCCCGGUUCAAAUCCGGGCGGCGCCUCCA
rnacentral:tRNA from 1 species